ACAGCUGAAGAACAUCCUGAUAUUUUAUUCCUCAAAGUGAAUUUUGAUGAAAACAAGCCCAUGUGCAAAAGUUUGAAUGUUAAAGUGCUUCCUUACUUCCACCUCUAUCGUGGUGCUCUUGGACAAUUGGAAUCCUUUUCAUGUUCGCUCGCUAAGUUUCAAAAAAUAAAAGAUGCCAUUGCAAUGCAUAGCACAGCCCAAUGCAGCAAUGAUCCACCGAAAGGAGUUGGAGAACUUACUCUUGAAUCUGUGUCAACUCCAACAGACAAGCCAGCAGGAUCAGCAUGAACAUAUUACUCUUGAUUUAAGCAUUUGUCUAUAUAACAUGAGUCAUGCUGUAUGUUGGUUGCCUAAUGAAACUCAGUUGUUAGGUUUCCACUGCUAUUCUGUAUAUUUUCACUCUUUUUUAGAAGAAUCUAAGCAAAAGUUGUCAUCCUACUUUCAUUCUUUGUCAUUCUUCUUCGGCCGGUGAUGUUUGUAACUUAAAAAACUCCAGUGGAAAUGAAAUUUCACGUCCUCAUUGCUUUUGUACU
rnacentral:misc_RNA from 1 species